rnacentral:rRNA from 1 species
AUUGAACGCUGGCGGCAGGCCUAACACAUGCAAGUCGAGCGGAUGAACGGAGCUUGCUCCUGGAUUCAGUGGCGGACGGGUGAGUAAUGCCUAGGAAUCUGCCCGGUAGUGGGGGAUAACGUCCGGAAACGGGCGCUAAUACCGCAUACGUCCUGAGGGUGAAAGUGGGGGAUCUUCGGACCUCACGCUAUCUGAUGAGCCUAGGUCGGAUUAGCUAGUUGGUGGGGUAAAGGCCUACCAAGGCGACGAUCCGUAGCUGGUCUGAGAGGAUGAUCAGUCACACUGGAACUGAGACACGGUCCAGACUCCUACGGGAGGCAGCAGUGGGGAAUAUUGGACAAUGGGCGAAAGCCUGAUCCAGCCAUGCCGCGUGUGUGAAGAAGGUCUUCGGAUUGUAAAGCACUUUUAGUGGGGAGGAAGAGCAGUAAGUUAAUACCUUGCUGUUUUGACGUUACCAACAGAAUAAGCACCGGCUAACUUCGUG